ACCUGGCUGGCUCAGUUGGAGAGCAUGUGACCUCUUGAUCUCAGAGUUGUGAGUUCAAGCCCCAUGUUGGGUG
rnacentral:tRNA from 1 species